rnacentral:rRNA from 1 species
GCGCCAGGGAAUUACGAGCAAUGCUUAAAACCCAAAGGAUUUGACGGUAUCCCAUCCACCUAGAGGAGCCUGUUCUAUAAUCGAUAACCCCCGCUACACCCAACCACCCCUAGCUUAUCAGCCUGUAUACCUCCGUCGAAAGCCUACCAUGUGAAUGUUUUCAGUAAGCCCAAUGACCCCCAUCAAAACGUCAGGUCAAGGUGCAGCUCACGGAGUGGAAAGCAAUGGGCUACAGUUUCUAAACUAGAACAUACGAAAAAUUAGGUGAAACCCUAGUCAUGAAGGCGGAUUUAGUAGUAAAAAGAAAAUAGAGUGUUCUUUUUAACUUGGCCCUGGGAUGUGUACACACCGCCCGUCACCCUCUUCGACUAUUCUCAAGACUGCUCCCUAACUCCACCCCACACCCCCUAGAAGAGGUAAGUCGUAACACGGUAAGUGUACUGGAAAGUGCACUUGGCUAAUAA